rnacentral:rRNA from 1 species
GAUGAACGCUGGCGGCGUGCCUAAUACAUGCAAGUCGAGCGAACAGACGAGGAGCUUGCUCCUCUGACGUUAGCGGCGGACGGGUGAGUAACACGUGGAUAACCUACCUAUAAGACUGGGAUAACUUCGGGAAACCGGAGCUAAUACCGGAUAAUAUAUUGAACCGCAUGGUUCAAUAGUGAAAGACGGUUUUGCUGUCACUUAUAGAUGGAUCCGCGCCGCAUUAGCUAGUUGGUAAGGUAACGGCUUACCAAGGCAACGAUGCGUAGCCGACCUGAGAGGGUGAUCGGCCACACUGGAACUGAGACACGGUCCAGACUCCUACGGGAGGCAGCAGUAGGGGAUCUUCCGCAAUGGGCGAAAGCCUGACGGAGCAACGCCGCGUGAGUGAUGAAGGUCUUCGGAUCGUAAAACUCUGUUAUUAGGGAAGAACAAAUGUGUAAGUAACUAUGCACGUCUUGACGGUACCUAAUCAGAAAGCCACGGCUAACUACGUG